CACCUUUCAGACUUGCUACAGAUUGACUUUAUUGUCCUCAGUAGCCUACUUCAUAUCCACGUCUCAUCUCCAUCAUACCCAAGAGGGGUGGUUAUAACAUAAUCACAGCAGAAACUGUGGGACUUGUUAUCUACAGAGCUCUUUGCAAAUAUAAGCUGCCUCAAAAAAUAUGAAUUCUUGUGUAUCUCCUUCAAAAUAAAAUAGCAUAACCUGGUAAUUUCCCACAGUUUCUCAAGAGAAAGGAAUUCUAAGGAAUGUCCUGAGUGACUCAAUUUGGAGGCUUUGCACAGAAUCUGUGAUCCCAGAUAAGCAAGAUUAGCCAGAUUCAUGAGUUACUGCAAGUCACUCAACCAUUCCAGUGCUUUGGCCCCUCACAAGGAUACUAGCUAUCUGUUAACAAUCACAAAUAUUCUGGUUCUUUCAGAACCUUGAGUAAGCAGCAGUAACUCCUGCAAGUGUUUGAACCUUGAUGCCAGCGUUCUCAUGCCACACUGUGUUAGACAUCUAGAUAACUGUGCUGAUCAUGUAUUUCCUCUUGCCUAGGCCUUUCAGGAAUGAACAAGCAUUCCCUUGUAUACUGCUAUGAUUCCCAUGACUCGAUGGUCACACUUAAUUAACCACUAGAUUGUUUGAGAGCUGGUUACAUUUCAUUUCAUUAAGUGAUUUCAUGAUCACCAGAGGUACACUGACAGCCUUGUUAACUGAAGCUAUGUGAAAAGAUCCAGCGGAGACAACAGUAACAUUCUGCAGCAUUUCCUCAUUUGUGAUUUUCCAGGCGCUGCUCAGAGUACAGUUGGUUACAUUUCCAUUCCUGUUUAGUUUUUUGGCACAAGGCUAUCUCAGUCUUGAGAGUUGGCUUCAGCCUUACCAGAUUGAUGAAGAGUUGCUGAUACCGGGGAUCUGUAGUGUAGCGAUUCAGCAGCAUGGCCAGGCGCGACGGCUUGGGCAGCUUCUCCACUGUUAUCUGGAACAGGCAAGAAUCCAUUUCUCUUUCUUUCUGCACUGCACAUUAGAACCCACAGUUCAAAAGCCUUCCAGUUUGUCUCUAAGAAAAAGUUUUCUAGGAGAGCUACUCUGGCAGAGCUUGUCCUUUUUAAAUUCUUCUGCCAAUCAAGCUUAAACUAGCACUCA
rnacentral:lncRNA from 1 species